ACUCAAAUGAAUUGACGGGGACCCGCACAAGCGGUGGAUGAUGUGGAUUAAUUCGAUGCAACGCGAAAAACCUUACCUACCCUUGACAUGGUCCGAACCUAGUAGAGAUAUUGGGGUGCUCGCAAGAGAGCGGAUACACAGGUGCUGCAUGGCUGUCGUCAGCUCGUGUCGUGAGAUGUUGGGUUAAGUCCCGCAACGAGCGCAACCCUUGUCAUUAAUUGCCAUCAUUAGGUUGGGCACUUUAAUGAGACUGCCGGUGACAAACCGGAGGAAGGUGGGGAUGACGUCAAGUCCUCAUGGCCCUUAUGGGUAGGGCCUCACACGUCAUACAAUGGUACAUACAGAGGGUUGCCAAGCCGCGAGGUGGAGCUAAUCCCAGAAAGUGUAUCGUAGUCCGGAUUGGAGUCUGCAACCCGACUCCAUGAAGUUGGAAUCGCUAGUAAUCGCGGAUCAGCAUGUCGCGGUGAAUACGUUCCCGGGUCUUGUACACACCGCCCGU
rnacentral:rRNA from 1 species